UGUCCUAGUGGCGAACGGGUGAGUAUCGCGUUGGUGACCUGCCCCGAAGUUUGGGAUAACAGUUCGAAAGGACUGCUAAUACCGAAUGUGGUCAUCGGAUUUAGAAACCGAUGUCUAAAGGAUUUAUUCGCUUCGGGAGGGGCCUGUGUCCCAUCAGCUAGUUGGUAAGGUAACGGCUUACCAAGGCGACGACGGGUAGGGGACCUCAGAGGGUGGCCCCCCACAAUGGAACUGAAACACGGUCCAUACACCUACGGGUGGCAGCAGUAGGGAAUAUUGCACAAUGGGCGAAAGCCUGAUGCAGCAACGCCGCGUGUGCGAAGAAGGCCUUCGGGUCGUAAAGCACUUUUCUGGGAGAUGAGAAAGGACAGUAUCCCAGGAAUAAGUCUCGGCUAACUACGUGCCAGCAGCCGCGGUAAAACGUAGGAGGCGAGCGUUAUCCGGAUUCACUGGGCGUAAAGCGCGUGCAGGCGGUUUAGUAAGUUAGGCGUGAAAGCUCCCGGCUCAACUGGGAGAGGUCGUCUAAGACUGCUAGACUAGAGAGCGAUAGAGGAAAAUGGAAUUCCCGGUGUAGUGGUGAAAUGCGUAGAUAUCGGGAGGAACACCAGUGGCGAAGGCGAUUUUCUGGAUCGUUUCUGACGCUCAGACGCGAAAGCUAGGGUAGCAAACGGGAUUAGAGACCCCGGUAGUCCUAGCUGUAAACGAUGUGAACUUGGCGUUGGUGGGUUAAACUCCAUCAGUGCCGUAGCUAACGCGAUAAGUUCACCGCCUGGGGACUACGGCCGCAAGGUUAAAACUCAA
rnacentral:rRNA from 1 species